CAAACAAAUUUAAAUUACGUUUUGGAUUUUUUUGUCAAAAGUUUAGGUGUCCAAUCCUCAUCUGAAUCGCUAGAUUCGCAUACUUGGGUUUGAUGUCUUCUGCUCCAAUUUGUCAUAAAUUCUGUCUUUGGUACAUUUGAUCCUGCUCCAAUGCUGCCUCUCCCGCUG